GGAUGUGAGGGCGAUCUGGCUGCGACAUCUGUCACCUCAUUGAUCACCAGGGUUGAUGCAGCUGAUCUGGCUGGCUAGACGGCAGGGGGGGGGUCCCCUUCCUCCCUCACCGCUCCAUGUGCGUCCCUCCCGAAGCUGCGCUCUCGGUCGGUCGAAGAUGAUGGACUUCCCCGAAUAGAGACGGACCCCUGCUAGAACC
rnacentral:snRNA from 1 species